CGGCGGGUAGGGCCUGGAGUCUCGCCCACCUCCCACGCCCGAGUAGGGCGUAAUGCGGGGGCCAGUAACCACGACACACAUGCUACACAAACACAGGAUCCCUAGACACAGCAAUGAGGUCCGUCCCAUGGGGCCGGCGGUGGCGGAGGAUCUCUCGGAGGAGAGAUCCUACCGCCUUUACAUGGGGAACCUGGCCAGGGCCGGAAGGCAGCAACCUAACCCAUGACGCCCGGCGUUCAUGGGGGAGCGGGCGGAGCCUAGGUCUAGGGGCGUCCUGUGUCUGUGUAGCAUGUGUGUCGUGGAGCCGCCG
rnacentral:SRP_RNA from 1 species